AGAUUGAACGCUGGCGGCAUGCCUUACACAUGCAAGUCGAACGGCAGCACGGGGGGUAACCCCUGGUGGCGAGUGGCGAACGGGUGAGUAAUAUAUCGGAACAUGCCCUGUAGCGGGGGAUAACGCGUCGAAAGAUGUGCUAAUACCGCAUACGCUCUACGGAGGAAAGCGGGGGUCGCAAGACCUCGCACUAUAGGAGUGGCCGAUAUCGGAUUAGCUAGUUGGCGGGGUAAAAGCCCACCAAGGCGACGAUCCGUAGCUGGUCUGAGAGGAUGAUCAGCCACACUGGAACUGAGACACGGUCCAGACUCCUACGGGAGCAGCAGUGGGAAUUUGGACAAUGGGCGCAAGCCUG
rnacentral:rRNA from 1 species